AUUGAUGGGGAUGGCAGAUGGUUAAAAAUACUUGAAUAGUGGAAGCAGCUUUGCAAUAGUGACAGCCCAUGCGGGGUUAAUGAGGUGCCCCAAUUGCCAUGAACUUCUGCCUGCCCCACCUGUGAAAAAUGCCCAGUGGUGAAGAGGGAGGCUGAAGGGGAGUGAGGUGAUACAAUCUGGAGAGGACUUUGAAUUCAGUGGCACUUGAGUUUGCUUGUUUGGGAUGUGCUCACUGAAUACAGCAGGAAGUGCAAAACAACAGUAGCUAGAAUAAGAGAUGGAAUCAACCAAAGUCAUUUAGAAGUUGUCCUCUACAGCCCUACCUUCCUAGAAAAUGGCAGCUGUGGUCCUGGAGGAUGUUCCAAGCAAAACAAGCAUGCAAUGAAUCUGCAGGUGUGCAGGAUUUAGGCAGUUACCAUUGAUCCAGGCUUCCUCAAUACUGUGAAGGUACAAAUAGCAAUUGACUGCUUUAAGGUUAUGGCUUUCAGCUGUUACUAUACUGAGACAAGUUCCCAUCCUAAAAGGAACCAGCUGGUCUAGAGAGUUUUCUGGAUUUCUUGAUGCUUAUAGUCUGAUCGUGGUUUUUAAAGUAAUUACUGUGUGGCUUUGAAUUAUUCAAACUUUCUGUCCAAUUCAUA